GAUUUUUUGGGCCCCAGAGGGCGUGAACACAGGAAGGUAAACCCCACUGGCUGAGCCCACAGUGUGCUGAGCAGGUGGGGGUGUGUUCUAGACUGAUCACAUCCUCACAUUCUCAGGACAACCUUGGGAGAGGUGCUAUUGUUUCCACUUGGCAGCCGAAGAAUUGAGGCUCAGAGUGGUGAAGUGAUUUGGCCAAGGCCACACAGCAAGGAGACGGCAGAGUGGGGACUGCGUGGCUGGGGGUCUGUCUGACUCUAAAGACAGUGUGUAUUUUUCUGGCACUAUUAACACCCCAUGGGGGACCCAGCUCCUAGCAGGUACGUGGAGCUGCCUGUGGAGAGGUUGGUGCAGCGGGUGGCAUUGGCUGCGGGAGGCCUCUGAAGACAUACCCAUUCCUUUUCUUCUGAGCCCGCAGAAGACAACCCUGCCUAGCUUCUUUGCAGCUACGUGGAGACAUGUGACUAGUUUGGCCAAUGGGAUGUGAGAAGAGAUGAUGAAACUCGGAGGAGAACUUGUGAGAUCGCCGUGACUGCUUUUCCCCUGCCACAGUGGCUAAGAGGAUAAGGCUAUCAAGGGUGGAGCCUCUCUAGGCCUGGGUUCCUGGGUGCCUGUGUGGAGCCGAGACCCCAGGCUAACUCACAAUGAACACGCCGUGUGAGGAAGACGUAAAGCUUUAUGUAUUAAGCCACUGGAGCUUAGGGUUUAAUUUGUUACUGUGGUGUAGCCUACCCUAUUCUAACCAAUACAAGGAUCUUUGGAUGACUCUCCUCCAGGAAUUCAUAUACAAAAACAUCCUCCCUGCAUGAGAACUCCCUAUAUGGUUCCAGCAGUAUCUCUCACCUGCAAUAGUGACUAAAGUCAAGACUCUCUGCUGGCUAUUUCGUUUCUACUGAACUAGGUAUUGUAUUUGCUCUGUUAUUACCUUGCUGCCCUGACAAUCCUACAAUCCACACAGCAGCCAAAGCGAUCUUUUGAAAAGAAUGCAAAAUCAAAUCAGAUCAUGCCAUUCUCUUGCUUAAAGCCGGCCGAUUCACCAUCCCUGCAAACCAUGAUACUCAGAAUCAAAUGCAGAUUCCUUGCUAUGGCUUAAAGACUCUCUGCUUCUCUGACCUCAUCUCCUAUGGUGCUGCAGCUACAUUUGUUCCUACUUCAGUCUUUGUACCUGGCUGUUCCCUCUGCCUGGCUUGCUCUUCUUCCCUCUUGUUAUUUAGAGCUCAGCUUAAAUGUCAACUCAAGGGUAUCUUCCCUGACCAUUGCAACUAAAAUGCCCCUCACUCACACAUGUGUCAUUCCAUUGUACCACUCUGAUUAAUGUCUUUAUAACACUGAUCAACAUCUGAAAGUAUUUUGCUUAAUUAUUUACUUACUCAUUUUUUUCUCCUUUUUCCCCACUAGAAUAUAAAUUUGAGCAGGACAUGGACCUUUUCAAUCUUGCCUACCCUCAUAUCCCAGUAACAAGUGGCUAGCAGAGUACCUGACACAUCAUGGAUGCUCAAAAAAUAUUUCUUGACUAACUGGAUGAAUAAAUGAGUGAAUCAUCAUCAGGAUUGCUGCUCGUGAACCCCUCCUCUUGCAGCUACCUGCCUUUGAAUUUGCCCUCAGGCUUCCUAGCUAGUUUCUUCUUUAGCCUUUCUGACCCAUCGUUCCUUCCGUAGAGUUCAAGACAACACUGCUCCUCCUAUGAACCAAAAGAAAGUGCCAGCGGCUGUUGGUGACGAAGCUCUUCUUUUCUAGGCAAUAAAGCCCCCUCCAGUUGUAGCAGUUUUCUCUGGAAUGGUAAGUCCCUCAGAUCUGGGAGUUAAUUGUUACUGUGGCAGAGGCCAGGCCACCCUGACUGAUAGAAGACCUUUUGGGAGAUUCUUCUUUCCCUGGAUGAGGUUGUACCCUGUUUAUGUUGGAUAAACAACUCAAAACCAGUAGCAUAGAAUGUUAGUGCCAGAGGGGAACUGAGAGACUAACAUGUUUUCCUUUUGCAAAUGAGGAAACUGAGGCAGAGAGAAGGGAGGGAAAUUGAUUAAGGCCUUUGGCUUAUUGGUUCAUUCCUUUGAUCGCUGUGAUGGAUGUUUCCCUGUCUUUUUAACCCCCCUGGCUUGUGUACCCUGUUCCAAGGAAUUCUCCAACUCAUGACUCUCCAACUUAUGAUGGGAAACAGAGCCCACCUCCCACUCAAGAAAAAAACAAUGCUUGCAGCACUAUUCUCAAUUGCAAAGACAUGGAAUCAACCCAAAUGCCCAUCAGUGAUAGACUGGAUAAAGAAAAUGUGGUACAUAUACACCAUGGAAUAAUAUGCAGUCAUAAAAAGGAGGAAUGGGAUCACGUCCUUUACAGGGACAUGGAUGAAGCUGGAAGCCAUUAUCCUCAGCAAACUAAUGCAGGAACAGAAAACCAAACAUCACACGUUCUCACUUAUAAGUCGGAGCUGAACAAUGAGAACACAUGGACACAGGGAGGAGAUCAACACACUCUGGGGUCUGUUGGGGGACGGGAAGAAAGCAUCAGGAAAGAUAGCUAAUGCAUGCUAUGCUUAUUACCUAGGUGAUGGGUUGAUAGGUGCAGCAAACCACCAUGGCACACGUUUACCUAUGUAACAAACCUGUGUGUCCUGCACAUGUACCCCAGAACUUAAAAUAAAAAAAAAAAGGCAAGGCUGAGUACUCCCUUUCCCAGGCUCCCUUGCAGCUAGGAUGUGGGUGUGUGAGCAGGAGGGUGUGCAAGGCUGGCAGCUCUCCCCAACAGUCAGGGUUUGAGUUUGGGGGUGGGGCAGUGCUG
rnacentral:lncRNA from 10 species